GUAAUACAUCGGAACGUGUCUUCUAGUGGGGGAUAACUGCCCGAAAGGGCAGCUAAUACCGCAUGAGACCUGAGGGUGAAAGCGGGGGGAUCGCAAGACCUCGCGCUGGAAGAGCGGCCGAUGUCCGAUUAGCUAGUUGGUGAGGUAAAGGCUCACCAAGGCGACGAUCGGUAGCUGGUCUGAGAGGACGACCAGCCACACUGGGACUGAGACACGCCCAG
rnacentral:rRNA from 1 species